GACGAACGCUGGCGGCGUGCCUAACACAUGCAAGUCGAACGGAGUACCUUCGGGUACUUAGUGGCGAACGGGUGAGUAACGCGUGAGAAACCUGCCUUUCAGUGGGGGACAACAGGUUGGAAACGACUGCUAAUACCGCAUAAUGUUAUUUGGGGGCAUCCCUGGAUAACCAAAGAUUUAUUGCUGAAAGAUGGUCUCGCGUCUGAUUAGCUAGAUGGCGGGUAACGGCCCACCAUGGCGACGAUCAGUAGCCGGUCUGAGAGGAUGAACGGCCACAUUGGGACUGAGAUACGGCCCAGACUCCUACGGGAGGCAGCAGUGGGGAAUAUUGGGCAAUGGGGGAAACCCUGACCCAGCAACGCCGCGUGAAGGAAGAAGGCCUGGUGUAACUCUUUA
rnacentral:rRNA from 1 species